AGCGAACGCUGGCGGCGUGCUUAACACAUGCAAGUCGAGCGAAGGUGUUUCAAGGGUAACCUUGAGAUACACUUAGCGGCGGACGGGUGAGUAAUACGUGGAUAACUUACCUCUAGGCCUGGGAUAACCCCGGGAAACUGGGGCUAAUACCUGAUAAGACCACAUUGUCUACGGACAAAGGGGUAAAAGGUGGCUGUGCAAACAGCUAUCGCCGAAAGAUAGGUUCACGUCCCAUCAGGCAGUUGGUGAGGUAAUGGCUCACCAAACCAAAGACGGGUAGCCGGCCUUGGCGGGUGAACGGCCACACGGGGACUGAGACACGGCCCCGACUCCUACGGGAGGCAGCAGUGGGGAAUAUUGGGCAAUGGGCGCAAGCCUGACCCAGCGACGUCGCGUUGGGGAAGAAGGCC
rnacentral:rRNA from 1 species